ensembl:snRNA U6 U6 spliceosomal RNA
GUGCUCACUUCGGCAACACAUAUACUAAAAUUGGAACGAUACAGAGAAGAUUAGCAUGGCCCCUGCACAAGGAUGACACGCAAAUUCGUGAAGCAUUCCAUAUUUAU